ACAUCCAGAGAACUUAGCAGAGAUGCUUUGGUGCCUUCGGGAACCUCUGAGACAGGUGCUGCAUGGCUGUCGUCAGCUCGUGUUGUGAAAUGUUGGUUAAGUCCCGNAACGAGCGCAACCCUUAUCCUUUGUUGCCAGCGGUUCGGCCGGGAACUCAAAGGAGACUGCCGGUGAUAAACCGGAGGAAGGUGGGGAUGACGUCAAGUCAUCAUGGCCCUUACGGCCAGGGCUACACACGUGCUACAAUGGCGCAUACAAAGAGAAGCGACCUCGCGAGAGCAAGCGGACCUCAUAAAGUGCGUCGUAGUCCGGAUUGGAGUCUGCAACUCGACUCCAUGAAGUCGGAAUCGCUAGUAAUCGUAGAUCAGAAUGCUACGGUGAAUACGUUCCCGGGCCUUGUACACACCGCCCGUCACACCAUGGGAGUGGGUUGCAAAAGAAGUAGGUAGCUUAACCUUCGGGAGGGCGCUUACCACUUUGUGAUUCAUGACUGGGGUGAAGUCGUAACAAGGUAGGCGUAGCGAG
rnacentral:rRNA from 1 species